GUUUUUGGGUUGUUUUGUCUACUUCAGCGUUGAGGGAAGUCUACUCGGUCCACAAAUGUGCAGACAGCCACAAGAGGUCAUCUCACGGCUUCUCCUCCUGAGUAGCU